AGUCGAGGGGCAGCGCGGGAUAGCAAUAUUCUGGCGGCGACCGGCGGAAGGGUGCGUAACGCGUGAGCGACAUGCCCGUUGCCCGGGGACAACCGGUGGAAACGCCGACUAAUCCCCGAUGGGAUAUUGUGCCGCAUGGCACGAUAUUGAAAGUUACGGCGGCGACGGAUUGGCUCGCGUCCGAUUAGCUUGUUGGCGGGGUAACGGCCCACCAAGGCUACGAUCGGUAGGGGUUCUGAGAGGAAGGCCCCCCACAAUGGGACUGAGACACGGCCCAUACUCCUACGGGAGGCAGCAGUGAGGAAUAUUGGUCAAUGGGCGGAAGCCUGAACCAGCCAUGCCGCGUGCGGGAAGGAGGCCCUAUGGGCUGUGAACCGCUUUUGCCUGGGGGCAAUAAGGGCGUCGCGCACGCCCGAUGAGAGUACCAGGCGAAUAAGCAUCGGCUAACUCCGUGCCAGCAGCCGCGGUAAUACGGGGGAUGCGAGCGUUAUCCGGAUUCAUUGGGUUUAAAGGGUGCGUAGGCUGUGCGUCAAGUCGGGGGUGAAAUUCCGGUGCUCAACACCGGGGCUGCCCUUGAUACUGUCGCGCUGGAGUGCGGAUGCCGCCGGAGGAAUGAGUGGUGUAGCGGUGAAACGCUUAGAUAUCACUCAGAACACCGAUUGCGAAGGCAUCUGGCGAAUCCGUAACUGACGCUGAGGCACGAAAGCGUGGGGAUAGAACAGGAUUAGAUACCCUGGUAUUCCACGCCGUAAACGAUGAUGGCUAACCGCCGGCGACACACUGUCGGUGGCCAAGCGAAAGCGAUAAGCCAUCCACCUGGGGAGUACGUCG
rnacentral:rRNA from 1 species